CGGCAGAAAGAGGACGUACGGUCGAUCAGUUCUCUUGCACGCCGCCUACCCUCACUCUCGCGCCGGUUUAUAGGUGAAGGGAAGUAAAGUGAGACUAGACUAGACUACGAGUGAUAACCAAAGGAACUAACACAUUGAGACUCUACCUGCGUCCUGAACCCCUUGUGCUCCCCGUGUGUCUUAAGGACGGGUGAGGCUCCCGCACGGAACCGAGGAGUGGAGCCACGCCGCGUCAUCAGCAGGCUCCCGUAGUACAAGGUGUGUGUCAGGCCACUGUGCCUCGCGUCAACAGGCAGGCGGGCGUGUUUUCCUCCUGGCAGCACCCAUGCAUCCCUCAUGAGGGUGUUGUGAGGCUGCCGGUGCUGUGGACGAGCCCCUGUGGAUACAGAGAGCAAUGGGCAACUCGUACGCACGUGAAGACUCCCUGGAAUCAAAUGGCAGAACGUCUCGGAGCAGCAGCCUCCUGAGGAAGUACAGCAAAUCUUUCAAGUGGCGGGAGACGGAGGAGGGAGGCGAGCGGGUAGAGCAGGAAGAAGGCGAGGGGGAGGAGCUGCCACCCCAACUGACGGAGGAACAGCGGGAAGUGGUGAAGAGGACGUGGAGGAUCAUCGAGGCGAGCGUGGCUAAGGUUGGCGUGGUGCUCUUCAUGGGUCACCGCCGAGUGGCUUAAAACUACCCACAUGCUGUCCUGAAGACCACCCAUCAACCCGGACUCUAGAGGAAGCCGUCCAAGCGAAUCAAGAACGAGUUCCGGGGGGCAGCAUGAGCCAAUGCAAGAUGGCACCACUAUAAACACUCGCCUGCGCCAGAACGGGCUGGGCCGACCAUCAGGCCCCACCUGGAAGAAGCCUUGGGCCGACCAUCAGGCCCCACCAGGAAGAUGCCUACCGGCGCAACAGGCAGC